rnacentral:rRNA from 1 species
AGUGAACGCUGGCGGUAGGCCUAACACAUGCAAGUCGAACGGCAGCACAGUAAGAGCUUGCUCUUACGGGUGGCGAGUGGCGGACGGGUGAGGAAUACAUCGGAAUCUACUUUUUCGUGGGGGAUAACGUAGGGAAACUUACGCUAAUACCGCAUACGAUCUACGGGUGAAAGCAGGGGAUCUUCGGACCUUGCGCGAUUGAAUGAGCCGAUGUCGGAUUAGCUAGUUGGCGGGGUAAAGGCCCACCAAGUCGACGAUCCGUAGCUGGUCUGAGAGGAUGAUCAGCCACCCUAGAACUGAGACACGGUCCCGACUCCUACGGGAGGCAGCAGUGGGGAAUAUUGGAUAAUGGGCGCAAGCCUGAUCCAGCCAUACCGCGUGGGUGAAGAAGGCCUUCGGGUUGUAAAGCCCUUUUGUUGGGAAAGAAAAGCAGCAGGUUAAUACCCCGCUGUUCUGACGGUACCCAAAGAAUAAGCACCGGCUAACUUCGUG